AUUGAACGCUGGCGGCAGGCCUAACACAUGCCAGUCGAGCGGAUGAAGGGAGCUUGCUCCUGGAUUCAGCGGCGGACGGGUGAGUAAUGCCUAGGAAUCUGCCUGGUAGUGGGGGAUAACGUCCGGAAACGGGCGCUAAUACCGCAUACGUCCUGAGGGAGAAAGUGGGGGAUCUUCGGACCUCACGCUAUCAGAUGAGCCUAGGUCGGAUUAGCUAGUUGGUGGGGUAAAGGCCUACCAAGGCGACGAUCCGUAACUGGUCUGAGAGGAUGAUCAGUCACACUGGAACUGAGACACGGUCCAGACUCCUACGGGAGGCAGCAGUGGGGAAUAUUGGACAAUGGGCGAAAGCCUGAUCCAGCCAUGCCGCGUGUGUGAAGAAGGUCUUCGGAUUGUAAAGCACCUUAAGUUGGGAGGAAGGGCAGUAAGUUAAUACCUUGCUGUUUUGACGUUACCAACAGAAUAAGCACCGGCUAACUUCGUG
rnacentral:rRNA from 1 species